AGGGAAGACAGAACGAGCACAGGGUGGAUGCCUCGGCGCUGCGUGCCGAUGAAGGACGUGGCUACGCUGCGAUAAGCAUGGGGGAGGUGCGAGCAACCUGCGAUCCCAUGAUGUCCGAAUGGGGCAACCCGACUGCUUCGGCAGUCACCGCGCGAGCGGAGGGCACCGGGGGAACUGAACCAUCUCACGUACCCCGAGGAGAAGAAAGUAUUCCCGUAGUAGUGGCGAGCGAACCGGGAUGAGCCUAAACCGAUGGCGUGCCAAGGCGGCAGCCGUUGCGUCAUCGGGGUUGAAAGGCAUCACAGGGCGUGCUGCUGCGCGCCACAGCCGGACUGCACGAUACACGAAGUCGCCUGGAACGCGACGCCGGAGAGUGUGAGAGCCACGUAGUGGACAUCGUGACAGCGACUGGGUGAUGUUCUUGAGUAGCGCCGAACACGAGCAAUUCGGCGUGAAGCGAGGGAGCCCACUCCCUAAGGCUAGGUACACGCAGCGACCGAUAGUGCACAGUACCGUGAGGGAACGGUGAAAAGAACCCCGGCGAGGGGAGUGAAACAGAACCUGAAACCGUGUGCUUACAUGCAGUCGAAGGGCGAGGUCGCAAGACCGCCUGACGGCGUGCCUUUUGGAGUAUGAUCCGGCGAGUUACCUUCAGUGGCAGGUUAAGGCAGUGACAGCUGGAGCCAGAGCGAAAGCGAGUCUGAAGAGGGCGCGCGUCGCUGGAGGUAGACCCGAAACCGCUUGAGCUACCCAUGAGCAGGGUGAAGCGCCUGUAACAGGGCGUGGAGGCCCGAACCGGUGUGGAUUGCAAACCGCUCGGAUGACUUGUGGGUAGGGGUGAAAUGCCAAUCGAAAGCGGAGAUAGCUGGUUCUCCCCGAAAUGCAUUGAGGUGCAGCCCGGCGGAGCGACUGUGUGAGGUAGAGCACUGAUGUUGUGCGGGGGCUUCACCGCCUACCAAUCGACGUCAAACUCCGAAUGCGCACAGCCGGCAGCCGGAGUGAGACAGUGGGCGCAAACGUUCAUUGUCAAAAGGGAAACAACCCAGACCUGCAGCUAAGGCCCCCAAAUCAAUGCUGAGUGGCAAAGGAUGUGUCGUUGCCGAGACAACCAGGAGGUUGGCUUAGAAGCAGCCACCCUUGAAAGAGUGCGUAACAGCUCACUGGUCGAGUGACGAUGCGCCGAUAAUCCAACGGGGCAAAGCAUUGUGCCGAAGCUCAGGAUGCGGAAACGCAUGGUAGGGGAGCGUCGUGCAUGCAGUGAAGCGGCAGCGGAAGCCAGCCGUGGAGCGUGCACGAGUGCGAAUGCCGGAACGAGUAACAGAGAAGUGGAGUGCGAACCUCCACCACCGGAAGCCUGAGGGUUCCGCCGCAAGGAUGAUCCGCGGUGGGUUAGUCGGGCCUAAGGGUAAGGCGCGAGCCGAACCGAUGGACAACAGGUUGAUAUUCCUGUACCACAGUACGACCGUUUGACCAAUGCAGGACGCGGCAGGAUAGGUUCCGCGGCAAGACGAGUGCCGUCCAAGCUGGUAGGGAGUGUCGCGCUAAUCCGCGAUGCGAUGACCGAGAGGCGAGUGCGAGGGGGCGUAGCAAUACCUCCCCGAGGGAACUGACUCUGUACCGUCGAGAAAUGCCUGCUCGGGAGGGCGUACGGUGACCGUACCGCAAACCGACACAGGUAGGCUGGCUGAGCAAGCUAAGGUGGACGAGUGAUCCCUGGUUAAGGAACUCGGCAAUUUGACCCCGUACCUUCGGUAGAAGGGGUGCUCUGGAAGGUGAAGGUCCUGGCGACCGGAGCGUUCUGGAGCCGCAGCAAAGAGGCCCAGGCGACUGGAUAACAGAACCACAGGUCCCUGCUCAAGCCGUAAGGCGAUGUAUAGGGGCUGAUGCCUGCCCAGUGCCGGAAGGUUAAGGGGAGAGGUGCAAGCCUUGAACCGAAGCCCCGGUGAACGGCGGCCGUAACUAUAACGGUCCUAAGGUAGCGAAAUUCCUUGUCGGGUAAGUUCCGACCCGCACGAAAGGCAUCACGAUCUGGGCAGUGUCUCGACCAGGGGCUCGGUGAAACUGCGAUGGCGGUUAGGACGCCGCCAACCCGUAGCAGGACAAAAAGACCCCGUGGAGCUUUACUACAGCUUGUCAUUGUGCGUGCUCAUCAUCUGCGUAGCAUAGGUGGGAGCCGGAGAACCAUUCCUCGCGGGGAGUGGGGAGGCAGCAGUGAAAUACCACUCUGGUGAUGCGCGCGCACUCACCCGCAGACGCGGGGACCGUGACUGGUGGGUAGUUUGUCUGGGGCGGACGCCUCCCAAACAGUAACGGAGGCGCGCAAUGGUACCCUCAGGCGGGAUGGUAACCCGCCGGUGCGUGUAAAGGCAAAAGGGUGCUUGACUGCAAGGCAAACAGGCCGCGCAGGGCCGAAAGGCGGCCUUAGUGAUCCUACGGCGCCGCGUGGAAGGGCCGUAGCUUAUCGGAUAAAAGCUACCCCGGGGAUAACAGGCUGAUCCUGCCCAAGAGUUCACAUCGACGGCAGGGUUUGGCACCUCGAUGUCGGCUCGUCGCAUCCUGGGGCUGGAGUCGGUCCCAAGGGUUGGGCUGUUCGCCCAUUAAAGCGGCACGCGAGCUGGGUUCAGAACGUCGUGAGACAGUUCGGUCUCUAUCCGCUACGGGCGUUUAGUGUGUUGCGGGGAGCUGAUCUUAGUACGAGAGGACCGGAUUGGACGGCCCGCUGGUGGAGGAGUUGUGGGACGACCCGCAGGCUCCGUAGCUAUGGCCGGAAGCAAGAACCGCUGAAAGCAUCUAAGUGGGAAAUGCACCCCAAGAUGAGCACACUCACAGCAUCAGGCUGGUAAGUCCCCCAGGAGAUAACUGGGCGAGCGGCGCAAGCUGGACGCAUGGCGACAUGUGGAGGCGACGCGUGCGCAUGGACGAGGGCUUCCCUGA
rnacentral:rRNA from 1 species